rnacentral:rRNA from 1 species
UGGGGAAUUUUGGACAAUGGGCGAAAGCCUGAUCCAGCAAUGCCGCGUGUGUGAAGAAGGCCUUCGGGUUGUAAAGCACUUUUGUCCGGAAAGAAAUCCUUGGCUCUAAUACAGUCGGGGGAUGACGGUACCGGAAGAAUAAGCACCGGCUAACUACGUGCCAGCAGCCGCGGUAAUACGUAGGGUGCAAGCGUUAAUCGGAAUUACUGGGCGUAAAGCGUGCGCAGGCGGUUUGCUAAGACCGAUGUGAAAUCCCCGGGCUCAACCUGGGAACUGCAUUGGUGACUGGCAGGCUAGAGUAUGGCAGAGGGGGGUAGAAUUCCACGUGUAGCAGUGAAAUGCGUAGAGAUGUGGAGGAAUACCGAUGGCGAAGGCAGCCCCCUGGGCCAAUACUGACGCUCAUGCACGAAAGCGUGGGGAGCAAACAGGAUUAGAUACCCUGGUAGUCCACGCCCUAAACGAUGUCAACUAGUUGUUGGGGAUUCAUUUCCUUAGUAACGUAGCUAACGCGUGAAGUUGACCGCCUGGGGGAGUACGGUCGCAAGAUUAAAAC